CUGAUCCAGCCAUGCCGCGUGAGUGAAGAAGGCCUUCGGGUUGUAAAGCUCUUUCGGCCGGGAAGAAAUCGCACUUUUAAUAGAGGGUGUGGAUGACGGUACCAGACUAAGAAGCACGGCUAACUACGUGCCAGCAGCCGCGGUAAU
rnacentral:rRNA from 1 species